GACGAAGGGGGGCAAGCGUUGUUCGGAAUUACUGGGCGUAAAGGGCGCGUAGGCGGCUCUGUAAGUCAGGCGUGAAAGCCCUGGGCUCAACCUGGGAGUGGCGCUUGAUACUGUGGGGCUAGAGAGCGGGAGAGGAUGGUGGAAUUCCCAGUGUAGAGGUGAAAUUCGUAGAUAUUGGGAAGAACACCGGUGGCGAAGGCGGCCAUCUGGACCGUAUCUGACGCUGAGGCGCGAAAGCGUGGGGGAGCAAACAGGG
rnacentral:rRNA from 1 species